rnacentral:rRNA from 1 species
GACGAACGCUGGCGGCGUGCUUAACACAUGCAAGUCGAACGGAAAGGCCCUGCUUUUGUGGGGUGCUCGAGUGGCGAACGGGUGAGUAACACGUGAGUAACCUGCCCUUGACUUUGUGAUAUCUUCAGGUAACUGGGUCUAAUACCGGAUAGGUGCUCCUGCUGCAUGGUGGGGGUUGGUAAGUUUCGGCGGUUGGGGAUUGACUCGCGGCUUAUCAGCUUGUUGGUGGGGUAGUGGCUUACCAAGGCUUUGACGGGUAGCCGGCCUGAGAGGGUGACCGGGCACAUUGGGACUGAGAUACGGCCCAGACGACUACGGGAGGCAGCAGUGGGGAAUAUUGCACAAUGGGAGGAAGCAUGAUGAAGAAAAGCAGCGUGCGGGAUGACGGCCUUCGGGUUGUAAAACGAUUUCGCCUGUGACGAAGCGUGAGUGACGGUAAUGGGUAAAGAAGCACCGGCUAACUACGUG